GGGGAUAUAGCUGAGUGGUAGAGUGCUUGUCUAGCAUGCACAAGGAGGUCCUGGGUUCAAUCGCCAGUAACACCC
rnacentral:tRNA from 1 species